rnacentral:rRNA from 1 species
ACGAACGCUGGCGGCGUGCUUAACACAUGCAAGUCGAACGGAAAGGCCCUGCUUUUGUGGGGUGCUCGAGUGGCGAACGGGUGAGUAACACGUGAGUAACCUGCCCUUGACUUUGGGAUAACUUCAGGAAACUGGGGCUAAUACCGGAUAGGAGCUCCUGCUGCAUGGCGGGGGUUGGAAAGAUUCGGCGGUUGGGGAUGGACUCGCGGCUUAUCAGCUUGUUGGUGGGGUAGUGGCUUACCAAGGCUUUGACGGGUAGCCGGCCUGAGAGGGUGACCGGCCACAUUGGGACUGAGAUACGGCCCAGACUCCUACGGGAGGCAGCAGUGGGGAAUAUUGCACAAUGGGCGGAAGCCUGAUGCAGCAACGCCGCGUGCGGGAUGACGGCCUUCGGGUUGUAAACCGCUUUCGCCUGUGACGAAGCGUGAGUGACGGUAAUGGGUAAAGAAGCACCGGCUAACUACGUG